rnacentral:rRNA from 1 species
AUAACGCUGGCGGCGUGCCUAACACAUGCAAGUCGAACGAGUUGUUUAUAGUAGCAAUAUUGUGAACAGCAAGUGGCGAACGGGUGAGUAACACGUAGAUAAUCUGCCUUUCAGACGGGGACAACUCAGGGAAACUUGUGCUAAUACCCGAUGAGACUACGGGAGGGGACUUUCGUAGCCAAAGGUGGGGGCAACCUCACGCUGAAAGAUGAGUCUGCGUCCUAUCAGCUAGUUGGUGGGGUAAAAGCCUACCAAGGCGAAGACGGGUAGCCGGCCUGAGAGGGUGAACGGCCACACUGGGACUGAGACACGGCCCAGACUCCUACGGGAGGCAGCAGUGAGGAAUUUUCCGCAAUGGGCGCAAGCCUGACGGAGCGACGCCGCGUGAGGGAUGACGGCCUUCGGGUUGUAAACCUCUUUUAUUAGGGAAAAAGGCAAUCGUGCUAAUACCACGGUUGUUUGAUGUUACCUGUUGAAUAAGCCCCGGCUAACUACGUG